rnacentral:rRNA from 1 species
GCUGUCUCUCGGGACAGUUGGCUUUUGUUACCCUCAUUCUCUGUUUUUGUGUACCGUGUUUGUUUCCUUGGUGGGCUUGCCCGCCAUUGGAAUCCCCUUACAAACCCUUUGCAGUUGCAAUCAACGUCUGAUAAAUCAAUAGUUACAACUUUUAACAAUGGAUCUCUUGGUUCUGGCAUCGAUGAAGAACGCAGCGAAAUGCGAUAAGUAGUGUGAAUUGCAGAAUUCAGUGAAUCAUCGAAUCUUUGAACGCACAUUGCGCCCCUUGGUAUUCCAGGGGGCAUGCCUGUUCGAGCGUCAUUUGUACUCUCAAGCUAUGCUUGGUGUUGGGUGAUUGUCUGGCCUUUGUGCCUAGACUCGCCUCAAAGUAAUUGGCAGCCAAUGUUGAAGUAGGAGCACGCAGCACAUUUUGCGAGCGAGUACCCAAACUACGGCGUCCAUAAGCACUUCUCACUUUUGACCUCGGAUCAGGUAGGGAUACCCGCUGAACUUAAGCAUAUCAAUAAGCGGAGGAAAAGAAACCAACCGGGAUUGCCCUAGUAACGGCGAGUGAAGCGGCAACAGCUCAAAUUUGAAAUCGGGCAUUUAUGCUUGAGUUGUAAUUUGCAGAGGGAGCUUUGGUUCUGGCAGCGGUCUAAGUUCCUUGGAACAGGACGUCACAGAGGGUGAGAAUCCCGUACGUGGGCGCUGGCCAUUACCGUGUAAAGCCCCUUCGAUGAGUCGAGUUGUUUGGGAAUGCAGCUCUAAAUGGGAGGUAAAUUUCUUCUAAAGCUAAAUACUGGCCAGAGACCGAUAGCGCACAAGUAGAGUGAUCGAAAGAUGAAAAGUACUUUGGAAAGAGAGUCAAAAAGCACGUGAAAUUGUUAAAAGGGAAGCGCUUGCAGCCAGACUUGCUCGUAGUUGCUUAUCCAGGCUUCUGCCUGGUGCACUCUUCUGCGAGCAGGCCAGCAUCA